rnacentral:lncRNA from 1 species
CUUUAAUCGCCCAGAGGCAAAGGCGCACAGUGCUUCCAAACCGGCUGCUAACUGGGUGGGAAUUUGCAAUCUUUGUUUCCCCCUCCUCCAACCUCCCCAGCUGCAGGCAGAUGUGAUUUUGAACUCUCUCUCCCCCUCUUUCUUUACUUUCCCCUCCUCCCUCCUCUACAGAGAGAGAUUUCUUUUUUAUGCUUCUCUCCCUCGAUUGCAAGACUCAAGAAGUCUUUUCUACCUUGGGAGAAGAGUAAGCUGGGCCUGAAGAGGUGAAGUAAUUCAGGGAGUGCCCAGGCCAUCCCAGUUGAGUUUCCGUGAUAACCAUGAAAGCUAAAGAGCUUUGCCACUCUGCAUCUAAGGUGAGGACUGAAUACCUGACACCUUGUACUAACCUCAAGGGUACUGAAGCUUUCCCUCUCCCUUGUUUUUGGUAGGAUGUGGAAUUGUUUGUUUUCAUCACAAAGAUGCUACCACCACCCCUUACCUACAGAAUGACAACAGAGGGCCACCUCCCACUUAACCCUCAGUGUCACCAUAAAGGGAAUACGAACUAUAAUUUAGAGCAUUAACACAGAAGGGUCACCAUCCACCCUGACCUACAAAGUCGAUUCAAGGUGACACUGUGGACCUUGACUCAGAAUUUUUAAAAUUAUUUUUAUUGAUAUUUUCUGUUUCUUACAUCACUAUAGUUAUCCCAAGUCUUUCUCUGUCUCCCAGACAGCCAUCCCAUAUGACAAAUUGUAUUUUUUAGCCAGAAAAAAAAACAGCAGAAAAACAUGUGCAACGUGUAAUAUCUGUAGACUUCUCAUCUCCACCAAGGGGUAGGUUAGAGGUGUCUUGUCAUAUCUCUUUAUUUUAGUCCUGAUUGAUCUUUAUAAUGAGAUGAGCCCUUUAUAAUAUGAGCUCUUUAUAAUUUUGUUAAUAUUUUCUUCUGGUUUUUUGGUGUGUCAUUCUUUUUAUUUACAUUCUUGUAGUUAUUGCAUAUAUUAUUUUCUUGGGUCUGCUUCCUUCACUCUGUAUCAGUUCAGGUAGAUCUUUCCAUGCUUCUCUGUAUUCAUCACACACAUCAUUUCUCACAGUAUAGUAAUAUUAUAUCAUAUUUAUGCACCACAAUUUGUUUAGCCAUGUCCCAGUUGAUGGGCAUCUGUUUUGUUUCUGAUUCUUAGUUAUCACAAAAAGUGCUGCUAUAAAUAUUUUGAAGUAUAUGGGGAGUAUGGAUUUUUAAAAAUCUAUUUGCAUAAUUCUAAAUUGCUUUCCAAAAUGGUUGUGCCAUUUCAUAGCUCCACCAACAAUGUAUUAGUGUACCUGUCCUUCCACAACCCGCCAACAUUAACUAUUGCCAUUUUUGGUCCACCCUCCCCAGCCGUGUAUCAGAAUGUAAAAUAAAACCUCAAGGUUGUUUUUUAUUUGCA